AGUGAACGCUGGCGGUAGGCCUAACACAUGCCAGUCGAACGGCCGCACAGUAAGAGCUUGCUCUUACGGGUGGCGAGUGGCGGACGGGUGGGGAAUACAUCGGAAUCUACUUUUUCGUGGGGGAUAACGUAGGGAAACUUACGCUAAUACCGCAUACGACCUACGGGUGUAAUCCAGGGAUCUUCGGACCUUGCGCGAUUUAAUGCACCGAGGUCGGAUUAGCUAGUUGGCGGGGUAAAGGCCCACCAAGGCGACGAUCCGUAGCUGGUCUGAGAGGAUGAUCAGCCACACUGGAACUGAGCAACGGUCCAGACUCCUACGGGAGGCAGCAGUGGGGAAUAUUGGACAAUGGGCGCAAGCCUGAUCCAGCCAUACCGCGUGGGUGAAGAAGGCCUUCGGGUUGUAAAGCCCUUUUGUUGGGAAAGAAAAGCAGCAGGUUAAUACCCCGCUGUUCUGACGGUACCCAAAGAAUAAGCACCGGCUAACUUCGUG
rnacentral:rRNA from 1 species